rnacentral:rRNA from 1 species
CACAUCGCUGACGAGUGGCGGACGGGUGAGUAAUGCUUGGGAACUUGCCUUUGCGAGGGGGAUAACAGUUGGAAACGACUGCUAAUACCGCAUAAUGUCUUUUGACCAAACGGGGCUUAGGCUCCGGCGCAAAGAGAGGCCCAAGUGAGAUUAGCUAGUUGGUAGGGUAACGGCUUACCAAGGCGACGAUCUCUAGCUGUUCUGAGAGGAAGAUCAGCCACACUGGGACUGAGACACGGCCCAGACUCCUACGGGAGGCAGCAGUGGGGAAUAUUGCACAAUGGGGGAAACCCUGAUGCAGCCAUGCCGCGUGUGUGAAGAAGGCCUUCGGGUUGUAAAGCACUUUCAGUUGUGAGGAAAAGUUAGUAGUUAAUACCUGCUAGCCGUGACGUUAACAACAGAAGAAGCACCGGCUAACUCCGUGCCAGCAGCCGCGGUAAUACGGAGGGUGCGAGCGUUAAUCGGAAUUACUGGGCGUAAAGCGCACGCAGGCGGUUUGUUAAGCUAGAUGUGAAAGCCCCGGGCUCAACCUGGGAUAGUCAUUUAGAACUGGCAGACUAGAGUCUUGGAGAGGGGAGUGGAAUUCCAGGUGUAGCGGUGAAAUGCGUAGAUAUCUGGAGGAACAUCAGUGGCGAAGGCGACUCCCUGGCCAAAGACUGACGCUCAUGUGCG